rnacentral:lncRNA from 1 species
CUGGAUCUCUGCCGACGUCCUCAAAGAACGGACCCCGAGCAGAGGAGCGUCUUCAGUCGCCUCGGCGCAAGGACGCACACGGUACAAGGUACCCAUUUAUUUAAUGUUUCUACAUUAUCUUAUCUGCUUUUGGAUUUCUCUGCCGAUGUCCCCAAAGAACGGACCCCGAGCAGAGGAGCGUCUUCAGUCGCCUCGGCGCAAGGACGCACACGGUACUACCCAUUUAUUUAAUGUUUUUACAUUAUCUAUUCUAUUCUUGGAUUUCUCUCUGCCGGCGUCCUCAAAGAACGGACUCCGAGCAGGGGAGCAUCUUCGAUCGCCUUGGCGAAGGAAUGCUCGAGACACUAGCAAAUUAUACGAAGUCCGGUGAAUCCCCG